rnacentral:antisense_RNA from 1 species
UGUGGGAGCGGGCUUGCUCGCGAAGGCGUCGUCUCAGUCGAUAUAUUUGUUGCCUGACACUCCGCUUUCGCGAGCAAGCCCGCUCCCACA